ACCUCACUGAGCCUCAUUAUCAUACUUCAUUUGCAUGUCUCUCAUCUGAUUGGUUAUUCUCUCUCAGUAUCUCAUGGAGCCUCAUUAUCAUGCCCGGGCCAGAGUCGCCAAAAAGCCUCUGCAAGCAGGUGUUGUCCGGCACAGAAUCAAGAAGGAACCUGAGGUACGGAGAAGACAACGCACCAUAGCUUCGGAGCUGUGGUAAAUACGAUCCGAUCCUGAGCAGAAUCCGGUCUCCAGGCUCUGGCACCUCCUGCUACCUCCCGGAUUCUGAAGACUUCGCAUUUUUGGGAAGGAGGGCGGGAGAUAGGGAGGCCAGACUCUACGCUGCUGCCAGCUUCUCUGGAGGAUGGAGAAGCUGACAGAAUACAGUGGGUUACAGAACGAACAGGGAUGAUCCUGGGACUGUCAGGGAAGUCAAGGAAACAAGUUUAAUUCAACGGAGGUACUCAAAAGAAGUUUAAGCCAUGGGGUGAAAGAGGCAUUUAACUCCCUGAAAUAAAUCCUGGCGCUGCAAAAAAAAAAAAAA
rnacentral:lncRNA from 1 species